CCUACGGGGGGCAGCAGUAAGGAAUAUUGGUCAAUGGAGGAAACUCUGAACCAGCCAUCCCGCGUGAAGGAUGAAGGGGCUCUGCCUUGUAAACUUCUUUUGUCUGGGGCGAACAAGCUCGAUUUAUCGAGAACUGACGGUACCAGAAGAAUAAGCACCGGCUAACUCCGUGCCAGCAGCCGCGGUCAUACGGAGGGUGCGAGCGUUAUCCGGUUACACUGGGUUUAGGGGGUGCGUAGAGGCCUUGGUGAAAGGCUGUGGCUUAACCAUGGAAUUGCCAUUGAUACUGCAGAGCUUGAAUGAGGUUGAGGUUGGCGGAAUGUGACAUGUAGCGGUGAAAUGCUUAGAUAUGUCAUGGAACACCGAUUGCGAAGGCAGCUGACUGGACCUAUAUUGACGCUGAGGCACGAAAGCGUGGGGAGCGAACAGGAUUAGAUACCCUAGUAGUC
rnacentral:rRNA from 1 species